UACAGAGGUCUCAAGCGUUGUUCGGAUUCAUUGGGCGUAAAGGGUGCGUAGGUGGCGCGCUAAGUCAGGUGUGAAAUUUCGGAGCUUAACUCCGAAACUGCAUUUGAUACUGGCGUGCUUGAGGACUGGAGAGGAGACUGGAAUUUACGGUGUAGCAGUGAAAUGCGUAGAGAUCGUAAGGAAGACCAGUGGCGAAGGCGGGUCUCUGGACAGUUCCUGACACUGAGGCACGAAGGCCAGGGAGCAAACGGG
rnacentral:rRNA from 1 species